UAUUAAUUUGUACAUGCUGUAUUUGUUAUAAUCAACCAGUGUUCUGUGCCCUAUUUUUAUUAUGUGAGCUUAUUUGUGUCUUUUUAGCUGAAAUUGGUGUAAGGAUAUGAGUUUUAGCUCUGAUUUGAUGCUCUGCUUUGAGAUUUUUGAGUUAUAUUGCUUAAACUCAUGCAAUCAUUGGAUGUUUUUUCUUUUGUUUUGUUUUUUCUUCCAUUUUUAGGCUGUAAAUUGGACGACAGGAUGAGGAUCUAGGAUUGACUGUGAUAUGAAAACAGUGCGAGAGGGGGUUUUCUCCGUUGAAUGGCGGAGCAAUGGGCGGUCGGGAAACCCGAAAGCUGGCAGUCGCCGCUGUCCUUCUCCUUCUCGAUGUGAUCUUGGUCUCUCUGAUCAUCGUCUACGUGCCUUGUAAGGAGUCCCAUCCCUCAGUUCCGUUGUCUCACAUUCUGAUCUUUAAUCCUUUGUUUGGCCUAGGUGGAUGGGUUUCUUGGAGGAGAGAGGGAUUAUACGAAGCUGAAAGGGGAUACAGAGCCUUUGGUUUAUCUGUCUUUGUUCUUUUUAUGCUUAUUCCGCCAUCCAAUUUGUGACUGGUAGACAGGUAUAUCUUGCUCAGAAAUUUUAAGGAAGCUGUUACUACUGCAGAAGACACCUUACUAGUGUAUGUGGUCAACCAGACAACACAAGCUCAGAAAAAUAAAUCUAGGUACCUUUAAUUAUUCCUCUUAAGAAAACUUUCUUAAAAUGACUGUUUCUGUUUUUGCAAAUCCAAUGACCUUGUUUGACAGCUGUUGCCCUUGGAGAAAUAAGGUGUGGUCACUGGAUGUGUAAUGAUCUUACUGCCUGUGAGAAUGGGCAGUGAAUGAGACAACUUCAUGAAAACAUUAAUUAAAAUAUGAUAUCUACUUUGGAUUGUUAUUGUCACAGUCAAUUGGAUUCCUUUUGUAUUCACUUGUUAUCAUGAAAGAAUUUUCUAGAGCA